rnacentral:rRNA from 1 species
AUUGAACGCUGGCGGCAGGCCUAACACAUGCAAGUCGAGCGGGGACUUCGGUCCUAGCGGCGAACGGGUGAGGAAUGCUUGGGAAUCUGCCUGGUAGUGGGGGAUAACGUUCCGAAAGGAACGCUAAUACCGCAUACGUCCUACGGGAGAAAGGGGGGGAUCUUCGGACCUCUCGCUAUCAGAUGAGCCCAAGCCGGAUUAGCUAGUUGGUGGGGUAAUGGCCCACCAAGGCGACGAUCCGUAGCUGGUCUGAGAGGAUGAUCAGCCACACUGGAACUGAGACACGGUCCAGACUCCUACGGGAGGCAGCAGUGGGGAAUAUUGGACAAUGGGCGAAAGCCUGAUCCAGCCAUGCCGCGUGUGUGAAGAAGGCCUUCGGGUUGUAAAGCACUUUAAGCGGGGAGGAAGGUUCGUCACCUAAUACGUGACGGAAUUGACGUUACCCGCAGAAUAAGCACCGGCUAACUCUGUGCCAGCAGCCGCGGUAACAC